UUUUAUCACUGGAAAAAAAUCUCCAAAGUAAAGAAGCUAAUACCAAACAUGGGAAUUGCACGAAAGCCUUAAAACGACAGAAGAAUGUUUCCAAAAACCAGUGUGACCGGUUCAUUAGAGGCAGUUAUAUAACUAUGGAUAUAAGGG